CCGGAACUCCAGAGCCUGAGUGAAGACCUCAGUCACCCCAGAGCUGUUAAUAGUUUUUAGCCGCUGGAAGCGGGCGGAGUCACCUGAGGCUGAAGGGGUUGAGUGGCCUGAACCACUCUGUUCGGCUCCUGGACCACCUUUGAAGAAAUUCUUCCCGUAAGAGAAGAGGACUACAUAACAUGUGUGAAGAUAAUCCAGAAAUGGUCUCUUCUAUGUGUGUUCCUGCCUCUGAAGACUUUCCAGUGGGACCGAUAGAGGUGGAAACCAGUGAUAGUGAUGAACCUGGCCAUACCCAGACUCUUGAGGGUUUCCAGCAUCACUUUUCUGUAGAGAUUCUUCUUGAAAGGAUCAAGCAAAGACCACUCCUCCUGAGUGAUGUUCAAAGCCAGAUCCUCAAAGGCCACUGACACCUAACACACUCCGCUUCCCGACUCCUGUAGUUCUCCUGGCAUCCUCCCUACAGCUCCUGCAGCCAAUGGAAGUCACAGUGCCACUAAGUGGUCUGCAUCCCACCGGGCCUUGGACACCUUGACUUCUUGCUGCUCCCUGAGAAGCUUCAUCAGGAGGCCCGUUUUGGAGAUGGGCUUGGCACAGGGCAGUUGCACAUGGGCCUCAUUCAGAGCAGUCCAUUUUUAAACACCAGAUGACUUCGGAAAUCAGCCUUCUUAUGUCAUUGGACAUAAUGGCUGGAGUUACUGGUUUAGGUAAGUUUCAAACUGAUCACCUGGGGAUGACAGCAAUGGGGAGGUGAAGUCUUUGGGGAGUGAGUCAGUGCCCACGUUGGGGUGACCCCAUUGUGCCUGCCUGGUCUCAUUCAUAGCUGUCAUUGGGCUGAAUGCAGUCACAGCAGAGUCUGCAGCAGAAGGAUUCUUGUGGUUUCAGUUUCUUCUUGCACAUUAGUGUUCACUGCAAAGCCUCAUCCUUCAAAAGUAUUUGCUGUGGUAUGGUUUUCUAUAGGGUGCUUUCUAAGGAAGGUUCUGAAUGAGCAUGUAAUUCUGAGACACGAUUCUGCUGAAAACGCAAGUCUCUUGAAGAUGAGAACUGUUGUGAAGGGGAACUGAUGAGACUCCUCGCUGCCAAAACAGAGGCCUCCUCGCAAGCAUUGGUCCGCUGCAUGUAUUUUCCUUUCUCAACUUUUCACUCAGUUUGGCCUUGGGUGUUCCGUGGGCCAUAAGAGAAUGCGUUUUAUGAAAGCAGUGAUUUGGGGGGGCGGGUAAGAUUGGUUUAGUACACUUCAUAGUUUUCGCUCUGGCAUAUGCAUCUUCUAACAUCAACACACUGUAGACAAA
rnacentral:lncRNA from 1 species